UAUUAAGACUGCUCAGAAUUCCAAAAUGAGGUCUCAAAAUCUCAAAGGCACCUUGAAAUAUGCACCUCUGAUGACACGUCUAUCAAGAUUUAUCUUAUAUUAGUGUUUGUUCUGGGUAUGUUUGUGUUUUAGGAGGCCCUUGGGAAAAAAUUCCUAUAAUCAGUCAAGCACCUCCCUGUCACUGCCAGGUAAUGGUUUUUGCUUCUCCUAGAGAUCAGAAGAAUUAAAGUACAAUGUCUAUUGUCGAUUUGUCUGAAGGGAGAUGUUCAAAGGCCUCUGUGAAUCAUUAAUAGAUACACUAUCUGCAACAAAGAGCAAUAUAUGUAAAUUUUUAAGGCCCUUUUGUUUUUAAACCAAAAUUGAUUGCUCUUGAUGGGUUUGUAAAAUUGGGGGAAAUGUCUCUCAAUGUCGUAAGUAUGUCCAUAUAAAGUAGUGAUUGGACGUCACAAUGGGCCCAAAGUUUCUGUGCCUUGAGAGAAGCAGAAAAUGGGAUAAGAACAUCCCUGGCCUUAGAUAAAUCACUCACUGUCUCUACAGGGACUUGGUUAUAAGCUUCAGACUAACACUCUCAGCACCCAUCUUAACCACGAGAAAGCCUUAUCCACGUCCGGACCCAACAGUCUUCAGACCAGAAAAGUUCCGGUUUCUGUAGAUUCUGAAAUAAGACAGGUAAUACUUGCAUUUGCUAGAAAGAAAGGAAGGGAAAGCCCUCAGACCAGUCUUUGUCUUUUUUUUUUUUUUAUUUUUUUUCCCACGUUUUUUUAUUUAUUUUUGGGACAGAGAGAGACAGAGCAUGAACGGGGGAGGGGCAGAGAGAGAGGGAGACACAGAAUCAGAAACAGGCUCCAGGCUCCGAGCCAUCAGCCCAGAGCCUGACGCGGGGCUCGAACUCACGGACCGUGAGAUCGUGACCUGGCUGAAGUCGGACGCUUAACCGACUGCGCCACCCAGGCGCCCCAUGUCUUUUAACGUUCUACAAUUUCAGUCUCCUUAUCAUCACAAGAAUCAAGUGCUCUCUGGUCAGGAGAACAGAGGUACCACCAAUCUACACGGGGCCUAAAAUAAUCCACACCCACCCUAUAUGGUGAAUAACUAGAAGACAGGAACUGACUCUGGUCAUAGCCCUCGACUCAAAAUUCUGAGCACAGAACCUGCUCCUCUAAGUUGCUCCACAAUUGUUUAUUGCAUUGAAUCAAAGUCAACAUGGAUACACUAAAUGUCCUUAGUUUGGAACUGAAGGGGUAACACUAUGUUUAAAAAGCUCCAAAUGUAGUCCUGUCUUUGUUUUCAAGGUGACUGCAAAUAGAAAUGACUUCUUUAUUUUAUUGGUACUUAAUUCCUAAACACAAGGAGACUGAAUAUAUCACUGUCUACAGGGAAGAAGCCCAGCAAACAGCCAUUGAACAGAAAUCUAAGAGGUGACUCAAUCAACCUUCAAGCCAGUUAGUUAUUAAGAGCUAUUAUAGUUCUUAAGGGCACCCCCACCUGCUUUUGUUUGUCUCAAAAAGGCAUUUUACUUAGAUAAAAUCCAAAUUCUUACUAUAUGAGAUAGUAUUGGUUCAUAGAAAAUGACCUCAAAUUUAGCCGUUUAAAACGACAAUUUAUCAUCUCACACAGUUUUUAAGGGUCAGGAAUUUGGAAAUGGCUUAGCUGGGUAGUUCCAGUUCAGGGUCCCUCAUGAGCUUGCAGGCAAGAUGUUGGCUAGAAUGGCAAUGAUCUAAUAGCUUGACUCAGCCUAGAGGAUUUGCUUCCAAGCCUACUCAUGUUGCUGUUGACAGGAGGCUACAUUUGUUCACAAUGUGAGCCUCAUCAUAAUCUUGUUCUCAAGAUAGUAGCCAGUCUCCCCCAUAGCAAGUGAUCCAAAAAAGAGAGAGGGAUAAAGAGAGCACAUGUUCGAAAUGGGUACUGCCAUGUCUUUUAUAACUAAUCUCAGAUGUCACAUGCCACUUAUGCGAUAUUCUGUUGAUCACACAGACCAACAAAAGGGCCACACAAAAAUAUCAUUGGGAGCCAUCUUGGAGGCUUGCUACCCCACUUAUCAAGCCCCAUAAUGCCCAACAUGAUCUCUUCUCUGACGACCUCUCAUGCAAACUAUGCUCAAGUUACAUGGCCUUUUUUAAUUUAAUUUAAUUUUAUUUAAUUUUAUUUUAUUUUAUUUUAUUCCAGUAUAAUUAACAUACAGGGUUAUAUUAGUUUCAGGUGUACAAUAUAGUGAUUCAGCAAUUCCAUACAUCACCCAGUGCUCAUCACAAGUGCCCUCCUUAAUCCCCAUCCCUUAUUUCACCCAUCCCCCUCUGGUAACUAUCAGUUUGUUCUCCAUAGUCAAGAGUCUGUUUCUUGUUUUGUCUCUUUCUCUCUUUCUCUCUUUCUCUCUUUCUCCCUCUCUCUCUCUCUCUCUCUCUUCCUUUCUGGUUUGUCUUGCUUGUCUUUCUUUUCUAUUUGUUUGUCUUUUCAUCGGUUCUCCAAAUGGAUAAACUUUCUUGUCAGUUUAAAUGCCAUCUUGUCAGAUAGGUCUUCUGAAGCCAUCUGCUUUAAAGAAUUUCUUCCAGGUGAUUCUCUACCAUUUCAUUCUUUCAUAGCACAUUUGUGCUUACUUUUAUUCAUGUACCUGCUUGCUUCUUGCUUUUUUCUAAAUACAAUUAGCAUCAUAAAGACAGGGACCCUGCCUGUCAUGUCCACAGUUGGAUCUCCAUUGCCUGGUGCAAAAUUGAUGUCCAAUAAAUACUUGUGGUUUGAAUGAAAAAGGCACAGUCAACAGUUGUUCCCAGUCGCCAUCUUGUCAUCUCACCACCUGGAGUCGCAUCUACUCCAAUAGGCUAGAGAACAAUUUCCCCAGUGAGGCACUGAAGCAAACCUCAAGAUGUGCAUUCACUGCCACAUUUCUCCACCUCAUGACUCAGCUUCCUUUAAACGGUCACAGACCAUCAAGUCCAAACUGGCUGAGCACUCUUAAUAUUUCUCUCAUGGUUUUCUGGUGCGGCAUCAGGCUCUUCUUGGAAAGUGUCUGGAAAACGUCAAUCCACAGUCGACCUAUAAUCUUCCAGCUAAGCUGACCUUCUGUGAUGUGUGGUCCCUAGUUUCUACCCGGUUGCCACGUGCCCGGAUUUUAUUGCUCAGACCAAUAUCUUCAGGGAGAUGCUUUAGCGCAUCCUGGCUGUGUGAGCUGUCACAUUCAACAUUACCCAAGGAUAUCAAAUUCUUGACCUUUCUCGGCUCCUUCUUCUACAGACUGGUGUCGAUCCUGGCUCCACACCCACGCUCAGCCAGAGCUCCCAGAAUCCCUGCCUGGGUCCAGCAAUCCAGCGUAAGCCUGAAUUUGGACGGCGAAAGAAGUUAUGUCAACUGGUCACUCCUUGUUUUUCUGUGCCCUUCUGUUCUCUAGAGAUCUUGUUAUCAUUUGAACUCCCAUAAAUAAGGUUUUCAAAUGCUGGAAUUCUCUGAGUUUACCUUUCUUCCUUCGGUCUGAGUAACAGCACAAUUGCUGAUCUUAAUCGGGUGCAAGAUAUGCAGAAACACUUUAUUAAAUGACCUAGUCCUUCAACCUUAAUUCUGUACUGCAAAGUGAAAUCUACCAAGAGAUCUAGGUUCAAUCCCAAAAUCUAAAUUUACCCUCAGUUUCCUGACCCAUGAAGUAAUAAUAUAGAUGCUCUCAAAAGCCUUUCUAAAUUUUAGAAGUGUAAUCACAAUGUCAUAUGUGGCUUUCCUAACUUUUUUGAUCUCUGGUCCCUUAGCUGCUUCUGAAGCCAGAGGCCAAUUCCUUCAGCAACCCUCAUGAGAUCCAAAGCCCCAGUUCACCCCUUCGUAUACACUCCCUUGAUCCAACAGCCUUUGAUUUCUGCCUGGAUCCUUCAUUCUCCUUCAAAGAUGUCUCCUGGAUCCAUCAUUUCCUCAAAGAUGUCUUAGAAGUAGCUUCCCCAAAUGUGAAUGAUUCCACACCCUGAGACUUGCACUAAACCAGAGGUUUUUAUACAAAUCAUCUUUGCCGCUCCCAAGCUGCUCCCAAAGCUGCUCCCAUUCAUCGGCACAGUUCAACUUUCUAAUCAACUGAGUCAGAGAAAGCUGAAGCAUUUCUCUGUUAACACCCGAGGUGUUUCCAAGGCCAGAAAGAAAAAGAGAGGAAAAAUAAGAAAGAAAUCUAAACUGUUUUAACCUGGGGCCAAAAUAUAGAUACUGUGCCUCUUUUUGACUCAUUAUUGGAAGAGAUUUCAAAGCACGCUCUUAAAGUCAGUUUACGUAAAAUGUUUUCAACUGUCUUCGCCUUCAUGCUCAAUAAACCAGAAUUCUUAUGCAGGUUUUAGACUCUCAGAGUCAAAGCUAGAGUCACACUUAGGGAUUGUUAAAUACUUGUUAAAUAAAAAAAGCAAAUCAUAAAAUAAUAGUCUGUACA
rnacentral:lncRNA from 1 species